rnacentral:rRNA from 1 species
AAAGCGCACGAGGGUCGCAGUGAAGAGGCUCAAGCAACUGUUUAACAAAAACACAGGUCUAUGCUAAGCUGUAAGGCGAUGUAUAUGGGCUGACACCUGCCCAGUGCUGGAAGGUUAAGAGGAGGAGUGAGAGCUCCGAAUUGAAGCCCCAGUGAACGGCGGCCGUAACUAUAACGGUCCUAAGGUAGCGAAAUUCCUUGUCGGGUAAGUUCCGACCUGCACGAAUGGUGUAAUGAUUUGAGCGCUGUCUUGACGGGAGGCCUGGUGAAAUUGUAUUACCGGUGAAGAUACCGGUUACCUACAGUAGGACGGAAAGACCCCAUGGAGCUUUACUGUAGCUUGGUAUUGGGUUUUGGCAUUGCAUGUAUAGGAUAGUUGGGAGACUAUGAAGGUAUGGCGCUAGCUGUAUCGGAGUCAUCGGUGGAAUACCAACCAUUCAAUGCUGAAAUUCUAAUCUGUGGUUUGAAGCCACGGAGACAGUGCUAGGUGGGCAGUUUGACUGGGGCGGUCGCCUCCGAAAGAGUAACGGAGGCGUUCAAAGGUUCUCUCAGGUUGGAUGGAAAUCAACCAUAGAGUGCAAUGGCAUAAGAGAGCUUGACUGCAAGACUGACGGGUCGAGCAGAUGCGAAAGCAGGACAUAGUGAUCCGGCGAUUCCGAAUGGAAGGGUCGUCGCUCAACGGAUAAAAGCUACCCUGGGGAUAACAGGCUGAUCCUACCCGAGAGUCCAUAUCGACGGUAGGGUUUGGCACCUCGAUGUCGGCUCAUCGCAUCCUGGGGCUGGAGAAGGUCCCAAGGGUUGGGCUGUUCGCCCAUUAAAGCGGUACGUGAGCUGGGUUCAGAACGUCGUGAGACAGUUCGGUCCCUAUCCACUGUAGGCGUUAGAAUAUUGAGAAGACCUGUCCUUAGUACGAGAGGACCGGGAUGGACAAACCUCUGAUGUACCAGUUGUCACGCCAGUGGCACAGCUGGGUAGUCACGUUUGGAAUAGAUAACCGCUGAAAGCAUCUAAGCGGGAAACUAACUUCAAGAUAAGUAUUCUUUAAGAUACCUUCGAGCCUAGGAGGUUGAUAGGUUGGGGGUGUAAGUACAGCAAUGUAUUUAGCUGACCAAUACUAAUUAUCGAAGUUUUAAUCUAAAAUCUACUAUAUAGUUUC